GGUGGGUAGAGAUGUGGCUCAGUGGUAAAGCACUUGCUUAGCAUGCAUGAGGCCCUGAGUUCAAUCCCCAGACCCACCA